rnacentral:rRNA from 2 species
UAAAACCAGCACCUCAAGUGGUCAGGAUGAUUAUUGGGCCUAAAGCAUCCGUAGCCUGCUCUGUAAGUUUUCGGUUAAAUCUGUACGCUCAACGUACAGGCUGCCGGAAAUACUGCAGAGCUAGGGAGUGGGAGAGGUAGACGGUACUCGGGAGGAAGUGGUAAAAUGCUUUGAUCUCUCGAUGACCACCUGUGGCGAAGGCGGUCUACCAGAACACGUCCGACGGUGAGGGAUGAAAGCUGGGGGAGCAAACCGGAUUAGAUACCCGGGUAGUCCCAGCUGUAAACGAUGCAGACUCGAUGAUGCAUUGGCAUAUAGCCAGUGCAGUGUCGCAGGGAAGCCGUUAAGUCUGCCGCCUGGGAAGUACGUACGCAAGUAUG